UACGACGGGGGCUAGCGUUGCUCGGAAUCACUGGGCGUAAAGCGCACGUAGGCGGAUUGUUAAGUCAGGGGUGAAAGCCUGGAGCUCAACUCCAGAACUGCCCUUGAUACUGGCAAUCUCGAGUCCGGAAGAGGUAAGUGGAACUCCGAGUGUAGAGGUGAAAUUCGUAGAUAUUCGGAAGAACACCAGUGGCGAAGGCGGCUUACUGGUCCGGUACUGACGCUGAGGUGCGAAAGCGUGGGGAGCAAACAGG
rnacentral:rRNA from 1 species